AUAACAUUAAAGCAGCAGUCAUUUUAAAUAGAAGCUCAAUAAAUGUCAAUGUAAAUGAUAAGCUGGAGAAAUACUUUCUCAAUAGCUGGUUUGAAAACUAAAUGAAAACCACUGUUCAUGUUGCACAAUGUUUAGUGCAAUGUCAUUGAAAAGAUUGAGGCCAGGUUUUUAUAUUGACAUAUUUUGGUAAAACCUGGAAAAUAUUCAUGUGUCGUGCCCCAAUGUUUAAACAGACUAACGGAUGUCCAAAAUGUCGGACCUGUUUUAUGUCAACUUUUUAAAUCCGCCUCAAGCUACAAGUACCGUCUGUUGACAUUCCUACUUGAUGAAUAAAAUUUUUAGCCUUAAUGACUAGUUUUAAGUAGAGUGCUACAAAAAUAUUUCAUAAAAAUGUACAUUUUUGUAUAUCAAUUAUAUGAUCGAAUAAAAUGAAACAAUUUUUCUUUGGCUAAAAAAACUAUUUUCAAAUUUUAGUUGAUAAAAAGAGGAAGUACAGACUUGAUUGGCUAGUUUUGUUUAUUUAUAUCAUCUGCCUUAUAGAUUGCAAGGUCUGAAAGGGGAACUUUACUUUUUCUAAAAAAUUAU